UACGAAGGGGGCUAGCGUUGUUCGGAAUUACUGGGCGUAAAGCGCGCGCAGGCGGUUUUCCAAGUCAGUGGUGAAAGCCCGGAGCUCAACUCCGGAACUGCCAUUGAAACUGUAAAACUUGAGGACGAGAGAGGUGAGUGGAAUUCCCAGUGUAGAGGUGAAAUUCGUAGAUAUUGGGAAGAACACCGGUGGCGAAGGCGGCGUUCUGGACUGUUUCUGACACUGAGGAACGAAAGCCAGGGGAGCAAACGGG
rnacentral:rRNA from 1 species